rnacentral:misc_RNA from 1 species
UGUGGGAGCGGGCUUGCUCGCGAAGACGGUGUGUCAGUCAACUUCAAUGUCGCUGACCCACCGCUUUCGCGAGCAAGCCCGCUCCCACA